UACGUAGGGUGCAAGCGUUGUCCGGAAUUAUUGGGCGUAAAGAGCUCGUAGGCGGUCUGUCGCGUCGGCUGUGAAAUCCCGAGGCUCAACCUCGGGUCUGCAGUCGAUACGGGCAAACUAGAGUAUUGCAGGGGAGACUGGAAUUCCUGGUGUAGCGGUGAAAUGCGCAGAUAUCAGGAAGAACACCCGUGGCGAAGGCGGCUCUCUGGGACGGUACUGACGCUGAGACGCGAAAGCGUGGGGAGCGAACAGG
rnacentral:rRNA from 1 species